ensembl:lncRNA
CAGUUCAUUCAAGAUGGUAGACAGUUCAUUCAGUCAGUAAGAUGUCAGUUACUUCAGUCAGUAAGAUGGUAGGUAGUUCAUUCAGUCAGUAAGAUGGUCGGCAGUUCAGUCAGUUAGUAAGAUGGUAGACAGUUCAGUCAGUAAGAUGGUAGACAGUUCAUUCAGUCAGUACGAUGGUAUUCAGUUCAUUCAGUCAGUAAAAUGGUCUGCAAUUCAUUCAGUCAGUAAGAUGGUAGUCAGUUCAUUCAGUCAGUAAGAUGGUCGGCAGUUCAUUCAGUCAGUAAGAUGGUA